rnacentral:misc_RNA from 1 species
GCCGGCAUUCUUUUCUUUAUCAAUCUAUCACAAUUCACAAAUGCUCCACUAACCAGCCGAGCUACUAGGACAUUAACAAUUGCAAAUGAGUGUAUGAGGAACAAGUUACUUUUUUUCAUAGGCACUCCCUCUAGGUGCCAUAUCUUGCCAGAAUAAAUGUUGAAGACAUACUCUAUUCUAAUACCCUGGACCUGUCACGUCCAAUGCAGGUACUCCGAAAGUCUCACAUGUUCUUAGAGAUACAUGCACUGCCAUAAAAUGACGUCUUUGACAAAGUUUACACUCAUCCAACAUAUAUAUUGCACUAGAUAACCAAUUAAACAUUCUCACUUACAGGAAUUCCCUGAGAAACGGAAU